rnacentral:sRNA from 1 species
AUUAUUUUAUUGAGUAUCUUCCCAUUAAAAUAAUUUAAAAAAAUGAAAGGGUUGCUUUCUGAAAUUUCAGUGUUGGGAGUCCAUGGUACAGCAUAUCUUCUGAACGUAUGUAACAAUGUCUGAUUUGAAUGAGGGCAGUGUCAAAUUUUGAUGCCAAGGGCCGUGUUCCAAUAUUCUAACAUCCUACGAAACAGAACUGCUAAGUUUCCUUUAAAAUAUUACUUUGUACUCUCCUCCUGGUU